rnacentral:rRNA from 1 species
AUACGGAGGGUGCAAGCGUUAUUCGGAAUCACUGGGCGUAAAGGGUGCGUAGGCGGUUUGAUAAGUCUGAUGUGAAACCCUAUGGCUCAACCAUAGAACUGCAUUGGAAACUGUCAGACUAGAAUACUGAAGGGGCAGAUGGAAUUAGUGGUGUAGGGGUAAAAUCCGUAGAUAUCACUAGGAAUACCGAAAGCGAAAGCGAUCUGCUGGGAAGUUAUUGACGCUGAGGCACGAAAGCGUGGGGAGCAAACGGGAUUAGAAACCCUAGUAGUCC